GUCAUGUUUGUUAAGAAACACAUGGUUAAUGUUAAAGGACAAUUUGUUGGAGUCAAAAAGUGAAGUUACAUGAUUUAAGUGAAAUGUUUGGAAAUAAAAACAAAGCUAAUGAUAUUGAUAGCAGUUAUAGUAAAAAAUAAGGAACAACUGACAAAUAAAACAUGUUUUCAAAGUCAUCAUAAAACUGUAAUGAUUUCAUUAAGUAUUCAUAUCGGCACAGAAAAUAGU